GACGAACGCUGGCGGCGUGCCUAACACAUGCAAGUCGAACGGAAAUACGAUUUCGGUUGUAUUCUAGUGGCGAACGGGUGAGUAACGCGUGAGCAACCUGACCUUCAGAGGGGGAUAACAUUUGGAAACAGAUGCUAAUACCGCAUAAGACCACGACCCGACAUCGGGAUGCGGUCAAAGGAGCAAUCCGCUGAGGGAGGGGCUCGCGUCCAUUAGAUAGAUGGCGGGGUAACGGCCCACCAUGUCGACGAUGGGUAGCCGAGCUGAGAGGCUGAUCGGCCACACUGGAACUGAGACACGGUCCAGACUCCUACGGGAGGCAGCAGUGGGGAAUAUUGGGCAAUGGGCGCAAGCCUGACCCAGCAACGCCGCGUGAGGGAAGAAGGCUUUCGGGUUGUAAACCUCUAUCCUUGGUGACGAAACAAAUGACGGUAGCCAAGAAGGAAGCCCCGGCUAACUACGUGCCAGCCGCCGCCGUAA
rnacentral:rRNA from 1 species